CUCCAGUUCGGACACCUGUUGGGGUGACACCUCUACCCCAGCUUAUCGUUUCCAACCCCAACUAUUGCCUGGGAUGAGGCCAAGUGUUUCCCUAAACUUUAUGAUGCCAUACCCGCUCCAGCGACAAUGGCAUCCUGGAUAAAGAAUGAGUGCGCGGAGAGCUGGGAACCCACAACAGCAGCAACAACAUCAGGUACCUUCAAGGCUAUGACAAUAAUCUCAUGUUCCUCACUAUAAAGACUGCCAAAUUCAAGAAGGGAAGUUGGAUAUUGAACCAGUUUGUCGAUGAACAACAUACGAUGAUGCUUGUCCUACCAGUGAUGAGAAGCAGUCUAUUAAGUUCCGGCCUUUGAUGAACUUCGUCUUCUAAAACAGAUUCAGGUUAACUUUUGUAUGAUUAUACUUUUGGUUAUGAUAAAUUAGGUCACCCGAGUCUCAACAUAGAACUUUAUAUGUCAAUAACAAAAUUUAUUCUUCUUCAUCAUCUCAAGUUCACAUUGAUGAAUCUUUUUUGUUUUGUUGAUGAAAUCCUUUUGAUGAA